rnacentral:lncRNA from 1 species
GAGGCAGGACAAUCUUAAGUAGUUAGGGAUUUUUCAAUACAGAGAAGUUUUCCAAAUGAGUCCUCUUUUCCACGCUUUUUGUCUCCAGGUCCACUCUGUUGCUUCUAAAUCCCUUGCUAUUUGGCCAAAGCACUGAGCUGGAAUGAACUGUGCACCCCUAUCUCUAGCCACCCCUCAUUCCAGGAAAUGUGGGGAAUGAAAUAUGUGGCUUGAAGUUCUGCUUACCACAGGGAGGUUCCUCCUCCACUGUCCUUUAGUGCCACUGCUGAGCUGUGAUGCCAUGCAGAGUCAUCUGUUCAGGUCCCUGAUGUCCUUGAUUGCCAGGUUUCUUAUAUGAAAUCAUCCGUGUUCUUCAGAGGUGUGGUGAUGAUAUUGAAGGUGUGUGUGUGUGAAUUCCUCUCCUCCCCAGGAGGUUCCAUGGCCCCUGUGUGCUUAGAUACCUUUUUUUUUUUUUUGAAACGGAGUUUCGCUCUUGUUGCCCAGCCUGGAGUGCAAUGGUGCAAUCUUGGCUCACCGCAACCUCCGCCUCCUGGGUUCAAGUGAUUCUCCUGUCUUAGCCUCCAGAGUAGCUGGGAUUACAGGCAUGCGCCACCACGCUCAGCUAAUUUUGUAUUUU